rnacentral:rRNA from 1 species
GACGAACGCUGGCGGCGUGCCUAAUACAUGCAAGUAGAACGCUGAAGGAGGAGCUUGCUUCUCUGGAUGAGUUGCGAACGGGUGAGUAACGCGUAGGUAACCUGCCUGGUAGCGGGGGAUAACUAUUGGAAACGAUAGCUAAUACCGCAUAAUAGCAGUUAUUGCAUGAUAACUGUUUGAAAGGUGCAAUUGCAUCACUACCAGAUGGACCUGCGUUGUAUUAGCUAGUUGGUGGGGUAACGGCUCACCAAGGCGACGAUACAUAGCCGACCUGAGAGGGUGAUCGGCCACACUGGGACUGAGACACGGCCCAGACUCCUACGGGAGGCAGCAGUAGGGAAUCUUCGGCAAUGGACGGAAGUCUGACCGAGCAACGCCGCGUGAGUGAAGAAAGGUUUUCGGAUCGUAAAAGCUCUGUUGUAAAGAGAAAGAAACGAAGUGUG